GCUCCGGGUGUCCUCCCCAGUGCGCCGCGAUUUUUGUGUCCAAGCCCCAGAGUCCCUCUGAGACCAACCCCCAGCCAGCACAGACUUCCUGCCUUCCCAGCUCGGGGAUGUGGUCUCAUUAGGUUGCCCAAGCUGGACUUGUACUCUUGGCCUCAAGAGGUCCUUCCAUCUCAGUCUCCCAAGUAGCUGGGACUACAAGCAUGCACCACUACACUCAGCCAAAUACUUUCAAUAAUUUGCCAGCUGACAACUUGAUUGGGUUCUCCUUCAGGUUUGAAGCGCCCUCGAGAAGUGUCUAAAGGAGACAGUUGAUAGCCAAACAACAGUUUUGGAUUCACUGACUGAUUAUGAAAGAAGCAGUAGACUGGUAUCAAGAAUCAGUCAGGUAGGAAAUGGAGCACUUGGUGGUGUCUUUGGCUAUGGGAAAAAGGAAAUGCCCACUGAUCCCAUUCCUGGAAAAUGGGAGAGGAGACAGAAUACCCUUCACAAUGAGGAAAAUGGGAUUAGGAAUUAGUCUCUGAUUGACUGAUAUUUGUGUCUCCAUUAUCUGAAAUCAUGCCGUUUGUUUGAAUUGUUUUUUCCAAUAUGUGCGCUGCUGGUGUUAAGUCUGAAUGAAGGAAGGGACUGGGAGUCAUUUCCUAACAUUGCUAUGGUUUGAAUGUGUCCCCUAAAUUUCAUGUCUUGGAAACUUAAUCCCCAAAUUCAAAUGUUGAUUGGAAGUGGAACCUUUAGGACAUAAUUAGGAUUAGAUAAGGUCAUCAGUGUGGGCCCCCACCCCCAUGAUGGAACUGGUGGCUUUAUAAGAAGAGGAAGAUAAGAAGGGAAAGAAAGACCUGAGCUGACAUGCACAUGCUUGACCACUUGUCAUGUGAUGCCCUUUGCCAUGUUGUGACACAGCAAGGAGGCCCUCACCAGACGCCAGUGCCAUGUUCUUGGACUUCUCAGCCUCCAUAUUCAUGAACUAAGUAAGUUUUUUUUUCUUUAUAAAUUAUCCAGCAUAUAGUAUUCUGUUAGGUAACAGAAGACAGACUAAGACAACCAUACUCCCAGUGCCUAGAUUAAUACAUACACUGUAGAUGAUUAAUACAUAUGGUUCAUAUGGUUGUUUGUUUGUUUGGUUGGUUUUUGAGACAGACUCUUGCUCUGUCACCCAGGCUAUAGUUAGUUCAGUGGCACAAUCUCAGCUCACUGCAACCUCUGCUUCUCCAGUUCAAGUUAUUUUCAUGCCUCAACCAUCUGAGUAGCUGGGAUUACAAGUGUGCCCCACCACACCCAGCUAAUUUUUGUAUUUUUAGUAAAGACAUGGUUUUGCCAUGUUAGUCAGGCUUGUCUCAAACUCCUGGCCUCCAGUGAUCCACCUGCCUCGGCCUCCCACAUUGCUGGGAUUACAGGUGUGAGCCAUUUGCCUGGCCAUAAAUAUGAUUUGAAUAAACUAUUGAAUAAAUGUGUCAACUGAGA
ensembl:lncRNA LINC00941 long intergenic non-protein coding RNA 941